AGUGAACGCUGGCGGUAGGCCUAACACAUGCAAGUCGAACGGCAGCACAGUAAGAGCUUGCUCUUACGGGUGGCGAGUGGCGGACGGGUGAGGAAUACAUCGGAAUCUACUUUUUCGUGGGGGAUAACGUAGGGAAACUUACGCUAAUACCGCAUACGACCUACGGGUGAAAGCAGGGGAUCUUCGGACCUUGCGCGAUUGAAUGAGCCGAUAUCGGAUUAGCUAGUUGGCGGGGUAAAGGCCCACCAAGGCGACGAUCCGUAGCUGGUCUGAGAGGAUGAUCAGCCACACUGGAACUGAGACACGGUCCAGACUCCUACGGGAGGCAGCAGUGGGGAAUAUUGGACAAUGGGCGCAAGCCUGAUCCAGCCAGACCGAGUGGGUGAAGAAGGCCUUCGGGUUGUAAAGCCCUUUUGUUGGGAAAGAAAAGCAGCAGGUUAAUACCCCGCUGUUCUGACGGUACCCAAAGAAUAAGCACCGGCUAACUUCGUG
rnacentral:rRNA from 1 species